AUUUUUAUCUAAAAGAUAAUAACAAGCAAAAAAACAAAUUACAAGAGAAAAAUGGAUAUUUCAACUUUAAAAACCACACAGAGUCAUACGUUGAUUGUACCAUCUAAGGCAUCUUGACACCUGAAUAACUAAUGAAGCCAGACACUGGCAAUGUUACUUCAAAUGCUUGGGUGUCUAGAACUUGGACCAGGACAUUAUCAUCUGCGUCCUCUAAAUAAUAUGGGACUUGGGUUAUUUAAUUAUUGUGCAACAAGGUUUCUCUUGAAAAAUGAAAAAAUGUAAGCCUUUCUCUUUUUAUCUCUUUGUGAUGUUUCCCUGCCUCUACCCAGCAACACCAGAGAAACAGCAUUGGGCUGAUAGGCAAGUCAGUGCUUCACCUCCCUCCAGGACCUCAGACACUUUCCUAGGAUGUCAAGCAUGCCAAGGGGACCCAGGAAGCAAGCCAACUACCUCCAGAACCAACUUAACCUUCCAAAAGGGUUGCUGAAGCACCACGCUUCUUCAGCACAAAGCGUUCUUUCAUUUGCGAAUCACAAGGGCCCAUCCUCCUGAGAGGCCAGUUCCUGGGUUUCUAAUGUUGUUUUUCCUUAGAUAAGAGGACGCCUGUCUUGGGAGCCAUUUGACAUAAACAGUAAUGUAUCCCCUAUUACUCCAAACUCUCCUGCUGUUACACUUUUGCUAAUAAUCAGAGCUAUGUGCUCAGCUAGGAACACAUUUCUAUCCUGCCCAUUUUCUCCAUCUCUUUCAGGGUGCUUUGAAGUUCGUGUUGAAAUGUGCCAUCUUAUAAUCAUCCCCAUGGCAACAAGCUGUGAGAAGACAAAUAAACAGAGGGUUAAGACUUCACUGCAGGAAUCAAGCAGAUGGACAAGUCAGGCUGUGAGGGAGAAAACCUUUAUUUAAACAUAAACAUCUUCAAGAGGAGAAUGAAGAAAUAAGAAAUUGACUAAAGGCAGCCUAGAAAGAAAAGGAGUGGCUAUCUUUUUAUACCAUUCUACCUUCCCAAUUGACCUCCGUGCCAAGACUGUCUUUAAACUAAGCACACAAAGGAGGACAUGUCCUGGGCUGUGGACAUGUAUCAAACAGAAAGCCAUGAACGGGGCUCAACUGCUGGCAGACACUCACCCCUGGCACAGCCAUGCCUACCUUUACUCCCUGUACGGCAGGAGUAAAAGGAGGCUCCCUGGUGUAAAUCCUGAAGGAAGUCGUCUUCUCAGAACUCUGAGGCUGUGUGGCCCUAAGUCUGGGGCUCUGUAGUCUCAGAGGAGGUAAGGGCAGGUGGCCCGGGUGAAUUCCUUACCUUCUGUCCAAUUUAGGCCUUGGGGCAGCCAUGAUCUACACUAAUGGAGUCAGGGUGGAAAGGGAUGGAAUCUAGGGCUGAGCACUCACUAAGGGCUGAAGUGGGUCUCCUCAAGUUCCUAUGUUUCAGGUCUCUGUGUACUUCAGAAUGUGACCUUAUUUGGAAAGAGGGUCACUGCAGGUGUGAUUAGUUAAGAUGAGGUUAAAGUGUAGGAGGGUGGGCCCCAAUCCAGUAAUGACUAAUAUUCUGACGAAAAGGAAAUCUGGAGGCAGAUGUGCACCCUGGGAGGACCCCAUAGGAAGAUGAAGGCAGAAAUCAGGUGACACAUUGACAAGCCAAGGUCUGCCAGAGAUUGCCUGCAAAGCAGCAGCAGCGAGAGGAGAGGCCCUUUCCCACUUCAAGAAGAAUCAAGCCUACCAACACCUUGAUCUCAGACAUCCAGCUUCCGGGACUACAGAUAAUACCUCUCUGUGGUUUAAGCCACUUGGUUUGUGGUACUGUAACAGCAGCCCAAGGAAACUGUCACAGCAUAGUCCCGGGAAGCUGCUCCCCGGGUUGUAGACACAACGUUUCCUGCUUCCUGAAGCCACAGUGAACCCCAAGCUGAGCAGCCACCAUUAACCUCUGUCCUGACAGAGCUCACUAAACCUAUCCAGCACCAAGGACGUCAUUGGACGAGUGAACGGGAUCUCAAUCCUUCCCCCAGAAGGUGAACGUAGCAGAAAGUCCUCCUCAUCGCUGUGCCGUGAGAAUCAGCAGCACGGAUGUGGACAAAGCUGACAAUGAGGGUGGCGGCAUGCAUGGAAACAGAAGUGGAUCCAGAGAGGGUAAAGGGAGAUCUUGAAAGGACUCACAAGUGAAGACAAAGACAUAAUAAAAGCCAACAACCCAGAACAAAACACUGGCAAGAGGUCAGAGUUUAAAAGAAUCAGUGAAGUCGUAUCUGAAUUUGCUUCAAUUUUAAGAGUUUGUAGAAAAGGUGAGAGUUGGCACCAAGGGGAAGAUAGAGUUCCACUGGGCGUGGGACAGCAGAGAGAAUCGGAUGUAAAGCGGUGGGAGAAGACAAUCAGAAGUAUGACCCAGAAGAUGAUACACUGCCCACAGCAGCACGUGGCUGAGCAGAGGAAAAUUACCUGGAUUGCUACACAAAGCCUGAAGGGCUACCAGAAAUUUAAGCUUGUUCUAGAUACGAGUCUGCCAUAUUGCCGUCAUCAGGACUGGGAUGAUUCCUGAAGUGAUCUUCAAAAGGUACAUGAAACCUUCAAUCCCUUUCAACUUCUUUGUUUCUCUUUUUUUGCUAUUACUGACUUCGUCAGAUGAUGUCCUAUUAUUAUCUCAAACUAGUAUUGAUUUUUUUUAGGUCAGUAUCUUUUACUUUUUUGUUCAAGAUAAGUAUAAACAAUCUCUAAAAUACAAUGUUAAGUGACAAAAAGAAAGGUGCAUAGCUGUUUGAAUACUGCCUCUAAGUAAGGGCAAGUGUGUGUGUGUGUGUGUGUGUGUGUCUAAUAUUCAUUGUCUUUGAGAUAGGAACUGGUAAACUGGGAGAUACUGAUUGUAGGAAGUCUUAACCUUUUAACCGAAUGCCGUCUCGUACCUUUUGAACUUUUCACCCUGUGCAUGUGUACUACCUAUGUUUAAAUUAUUUAAAGUAAUUAUAAAAUUAAAACUGAGUAGGCCUUAUAUUAUGAGAGACACUGUAAAGUCUCAAAUAUAAGGCGAUUCCUUCUUUCCUAAGGGAUAACCUUAAAGAAAAAGCUACUCAAUUCUUAUGAAGACAUCCACGGCAUCCACGGGGAUAUACAGAGGUAGGUAUUAGGGCAGAUCAUGUGUGCAUAAGCACCAGCGAUGACAUGUAUGCAGAAAUAGAUGGAGUACAGGUGACUUUGGUGCUGAAUGAAGCCUGUUUGUAGGAAAUUGCCAAUCAAUGGAGAAAUAUGGCUCUGCCAGGCUCAGAGACCAAGUCAGGCUCACAGCUCUGGCUGUGUACUCAGGUUAAGUAUGGUAAACAGACUUCACCCUUUCUGCAGGCUUCCAAAUUAGAGCAUACUUGUCCAGAGGUCAAUUUCAAUACUUGGACUUUGGAUGUUCAUUAAGAACUGUGUCAUCAUUCUGCUUGGACAACUUUUGCCUUCAUCGUGCAAUUUUGCGUCAGGAACUUUGACCUGAAUUGAGGAUAUUCCAGUUUUUCUUCUCAUAACCAGAAAGGAUCAACACAGGAUAAUGCUCAUAAAAAUUAGAUUUCUUGCUAAAAAAUAAUUAAAAUGCUCCAAAUACGAAGUCUUUUCCUACAAGCCAAGCUUCUAAACAAUGACCCAGGGGUAUAAGAGCACAUUCCAAAGAAGUCCUGCUUUUACAUAAUCUAAUCUCAUUUGUUUGCCUUUUCUUCUGAAAGUAUAUGAGUUUGACUCAAAUUUCUUUCUAACAAUAUGCAUUUCAACCACAUAAAAUCUUGAAAGAGAUUCCAACUAGUUGUGGUAUUACUAUCAAUGUAGAACCCUGGGUUUUCUAAAACCAUGGUUCAAUAACAAAGGUGAUCUAGCUAAUUUCCUUUAGAAGGUGUUGUCCAGUUCAAAACAAACUCCAUCCAGAUACACCAGGUAGCAUGUAGACAAACCAUGCCCUCAUGGCAACUUAAAGUUCCACGGUCCGGCUCUGAUGCUAAGAGAAAUUGCUUUUAGGUUCUACGCUACCUCGAUGGCAUGAAAGCUAGUAAAUUUUCUAAAAAGAUCAAAUCAAUGAAGUUAGUUUCAAAGUUGCUUUGUGCAAAGGAAUGUGGAAUAAUCCAUUUUAGGGUAGAUCAGAGGAAACAUGAUAAAAACAGACUUCUAAAAAUCUCUAAUCUAAACUGAACUAGACCUCUAGUGUGAUCUGCCCAGCUUCCUAAUGAACUGAAACUGAAAUCGAGUACAAUCAUUUUACCUCUAUAUGUGAAUGGCUGUAGCACGUGAGAAUGACUUCUGUAUUCACAGUUCAAUGGAUAGUUUUUAUUUCUAACUUUCUGGAACAAAGUUCACCUCUCAUUUCUUCAUGCAACUCUAAUCCCCUGACUAACGAUGCUAGUCUCUCUGGUUCUCCCUGCACCCCUCCCACUGGUCCCUCUAGGUCUCCUUUGUAGAUCGUUCCUCCUCCUCUGAUUACCUCUUAAAUGGCCAUGUGCUCCAAGUUUCACUCUUGGUCCCCCAACCUCGUGCCACUGUGAGCCCUCCCUAGGUGACUGUAGGUACUAUUUCAUCUGAAUGACCAUAUGUCAGCUAUUGUGUCUCAAACUAAAUCUCCCCACCCUGAUUUUGUCCUUUUGGUUGUUCCACAGGCACGUCAGACUAAACUCAACUCAUCAUCCACGUCUUCAAAACUGCCCCUCCCCUCGCCCUCAUAUGCAUUAGCUCAGUUCAUGAUACCACUAUUAGCUGACCAGGUGGUCAGACCAGAAACCUGAGAGUUACCCUGAACAGCUUCUUCUUCCUCACCCAUCUCCCCACAUGAGCGACCCUACUCUGCUUUGUUAUCCCUUGCAUAUUUUUGUCCUUUCCCCUCUCCCCUUUCUACUAUCAUUGCCUAGAAUAGCCGCCCCUCACCCCUUGCCUGGUCUCCUUCCCUCUAGUCUCCCCUCCUCUAUGCAGAGUGACCAUAUUCAGUGCCAGCCUAAUCAUGCGACCCUGCCCAGAUCUUCAUCGGCUUCCCUCAAGGAGAGAAGAAACGUCAAGCCUCUUUGCCUGGCCUAUCUUUUCAUGUCCUGCCUCCUUCCACCUUGAAUUUUCUCUCUGGGAUCUGCUUUCGGAGCUCAGGGGGAGUUGGACCUUCUGUGAACUUCCUGGCCCCUCUGGCAGUGGUGAGCAGAGUGACUGGAGCUGGACCACUCCACUUCCAACCUCACCAUUUUGAUCUCCACAGUAGGUCAUCUCCCCUAGGGCUGCGGGAGAUAGGGUCAGAAGAAAAGGAAGGGCAGGGGAGAGGCAAGGCAGCCCUCUUUUUCUUGCCAUUCUGGCCCCACAAAGCCUCAGAGAGCCUGAGAGACCACAGCCAGAGAACUAAGACACUCUGGCUCAUCAAACCCAGGGUUACCAGGGAAGAGCCAGGAAACAGGAAUAGAAACUUAGCGCUUCUGUUCAUAGCAAGAAUAGAAUCAGAGUGCUUCCUGUGACCUUUAGCAAGGUGUGUACGGUUUGGUUUCCAUUUCCUCCUUUGUUGAUAUUAUAACCAGCUCAUCUGAAGUAAUGAAUGAGAGACUGCUUAGUAAACUGUGAAGCACCAGAUGGAUAUAGCGUGUUGUCAUUCCUUCACUGGUUGAUCACUACUGAAUGCAUUCUUACCGAUAAGGACUGCCUGGUCCCUGUCACCCUUCUUUCCUGUCUCUUCCUCUGGAGAACCCCCAUUUAAAGAGGACUUCGGUGUCGGUGGUUACAUAUUGAAUUGGCCAGGCCCUCCCUUCUCCGGCUACUGGGUUUGUUGGGGGGAAGAUACCAAGCAUCACCAGGGCCGAAUUGUAAUAAUAAGGUGAAAAGAAGUGUGUUCGAAGAAAGGACCCUUUACUUGUCACAGUCAUAUAAUUAAAGUUCCUGUAAUAGGCUUACUGACCUUCAAACUUGCUAUUUUCCUUCAUCAAGUUCUUAAAGGUAUCUUCAUGAUGUAAUCGAACUUUCCUUCUCUCAGAAGCCAGAUUAUGUUCCAUGUGAUCUUGCUCAGUUAGAAGUGUGACUGGUUUUAAAUCAAUCUCAAAAAAGAUAAACACAUCUCUUUCAUUACCUUGUUAAGUUAUCAGAGGACAACACGAGUUUUGUAAAACAAAUGAUAUGUUACAUUGUUUUCUAACUCAAGGUAAAUAGAGCAUUUCUGGGUAUUUUUACACAUAUUAUAUGACUAAAUUUAUUUCUUAUAAUAUUUUGAAACU